GCGAGCGUUCGCCUGCGUUCGUGAUGAAGCUACCCUUCACACGGGUGGGGUCGCAGGUUCAAUCCCUGCCGCGCCCACCA
rnacentral:tRNA from 1 species